GGUGAUCGGUUUCCGAAUUUUACGGACUAGGGUCUAGGUAUAAUUUUUAUAAUUUUUAUGUGAAACAAAGAUCAUUAAAUACACACAUGCACCUAAAAACUUGACAAACGUAUUUAAUGAUAAUUAAAAAUGGACGUAAACAUACCAAAUAAUGAAAUAGACAAUACAGUUGUUAGCAAUGAAGUUAAACCUGAAAUGGAUGUUAACAAUCGUAUUUGCCGUUGUUGUUUGUCGACUGAACGGCGUAUGGCUAAAAUCAACAACUUUCGCUAUCUGUUUAUGGAUUUAGCUGAUAUUAUUGUGACAGACUCGGACGGUCUUCCGCAAUGGAUUUGCUGGGAGUGUGCCGCGUUACUCAGAAAGUGUGUACGCUUCAAGCAGAAAGUGUUGAAAGCUCAUACUGUGUUGUACGACUAUCAUGGACGCUGUGUUCCGUUCGCGAUAGACGGCCAAGAUCCAGAGUUGACAAAAUUUUCCACACCCCAUUUAAAAACGACGAAAACACUUUAUUUUGACACCGUUAAAAGUAAGCCGGGAUUCCAUAGUGUUUUACAGCAUGAGAAGAUAACAAACGACUCGCCAUUACUUCAUUUGGAAAUACCUCAGUUAACCAACUGCGAACAAAUGAACGAUGUUUUUGUUAAAAGUGAAGAUUUGAUGAAUGACGGCUAUGAUCUGGUGCCCGUGGACGAUUUUGUAUCGAGUGAAACAGAAGACACGGAUAACAAAGAAUACAAGCAAGAGCGAAAGAGAAAGGUGAAGGGGAAAAUAAAAAUUGAAAACGAUAAGAGUGAUGAUGUUGAUACAAUGGAGCCAGAUGUACAAAUUCCUUCAACGUCCAGUACACUGAUGGAGACUGAUGAUAUCGUGCCACCAACGUCUGCCAUACCUUUCGCUGUGCCACACACAUUCCAUAACGCCAAAGCGCAACGACAAAGUGUGUAUAGAAAACGUAAGGCCGCGGAAAGAACUCCUGCAGAGGCAGCAGAAUUUGCAAAAGCAGCCGCCGAAAGACAACGUAGAUUCAAGCAACGUAGACUCGCCAACUCGGCUCUUACGCUAGAGUCUGCUCCUGUGCUAGUGAAAAGAACAGUUCCUGCUCAGACCAGCGCUCAGCGACAACGUGCUUACAGACAGCGUAGAGCUGCUCAAAUUGUUUCACAAAUAAGUACUCCACCGACUCACACAGCAAUGCAACCGGAACAAUCAACCUGGAAUAUCAAAUGGUCGUUGUCAAUAAAGAGGUUUAAAACUACAUUUCUGGACAACGAAUUUGGCCACGCUUGCUCUGUUUGUGACCGAUUGUGGUUCAAGAAUGACUUUAAAAUCAUCACUGCUGCACAACUACAGGUCAUAUCGGAUUGGUUCGUUAAGGAAAAUAGGCAACUACGCGAGGAGGAUUAUACGCAUAUUUGCAACACCUGUAGAUUUUCGAUGAACAAACAUAAGCUUCCUACCCUUGCAAAAGUGAAUGGCUUCUCAUAUCCAGAAAUACCUCCUGGCUUACCGCCACUGGAUCCAAUUAGUGAACGAUUAAUCUCACCACGUCUGCCAUUCAUGCAAGUGCGUCGUCUGCGGUAUGACUUCUCUUAUGGAAUUAUUGGUCAAGUGAUCAACGUUCCAGUCAACGUAGAAAACAUGGUAAAAUGCUUGCCCCGGCAUUUAGAUGAGGACGACGUCAUUAAUGUCAACAUCAAACGGAAUCUCGUAUACAAAACAAAUUACAUCAGCGGCUACAUGUCCAAAAGGACAAUCAAAGAAUGGUUGGAUGUACUUCAAAAUUCAAGUCUAUAUCGCUUGUACGAUAUCAAAGUAGAUUUGUCAAGGCUGCAAACUGUCGUGCCACCAGAGGAAGAUUUGCAGGAUGACUCGGCUCAUCGAAUCGAAACAAUCGCCGCCGAGUGUACUCCGGAGUCAGAAAUUCUUGCUUCCAGGCAGCAUACACUACUGUGGAACGAAGAGGAUUGCCUCGACAUGGCACGAAGACAUCGGGCCAUGCCUCUGAACAUCAUUUACGACCGUCAUGCUGAAGAACUAUCAUUUCCUGCAAUAUACUACGGCCAGCCUCGUCGCUUCCACAUGGGAGUUUCAGUGACACCUUACAUGAUGGCAACCAGUGAAUUACGACGAAGUGACAGACGCGGAGCCACGCCUCAAAAAGUCUUGUACGUUGCUAUGAAGAUUCUACGUCUCCGCAUGGUGGAUGGCAUUUACAGCACAUUUCGGAAUGUGUCAACCACGGAAAACGUAACUCGACGCAUGUUGGAGGACCCGGAAUUUCUUAAAGAAUUUGUCGUUCAAAAUCUUGCCUUCAUGAAUUCAGUACCCAAUUCCGUCCAGUAUUGGGCCUCUCGCAAACGAGAUCUGUUUGCGAUGCUCGGUCAACUAGGUAAACCGACCAUAUUUUUCACUUUAAGUGCAAACGAAGUACGCUGGUUGAUAUUACUGAACUUACUCCUCAAAUUGAGUAACAAGUAUCCUGGAAAAGUUGCUGAAGAUCUAAACACGUCAGAGCGGUGCAACUUAGUGAGCGACGAUCCAGUUACGUGCUGCAUAUAUUUCCACAAACUCGUCGGUACAUUGAUGAAUAUGCUGAAGGCAAAACAAUCAUAUAAUCCAUUUGGCCAGUACUUUGUUAAAGAUUAUUUCUUUCGCAUUGAGUUCCAGCAUCAAGGAAGCCCCCACGCACACAUUUUGGUGUGGUUGAAUAAUGAUCCACACGAGGCCGUGUCAGAAAAUAUGCCAAUGACCAUCGAGCUCGUGGAGAAGCUGAGUUCUGUCGCCAAAGAAGAUAUGCCCAACGAGACCAUCUACGCCAAUCAAAUUCACAAGCACACUUUGACCUGCACGAAGCGAGGUGAGACGACUUGCAGAUUUGGGAUCCCGUACUGGCCAAUGCCUGCUACUCGAGUCUUGGUUCCAAUGCCUCAGACUGAUGGACGCCGGUCAACAUUCCAAAAAAAAUCCAAGGAGCUACGAACGUGUCUCAGCGAACUAACAUACCCUAGCAUGGAUGACUUUCUGCGGGAACAUGGUCUGACAUUUGAUGCAUAUCUCGAUAUAGUACGUUCAACCCUUCGCAGGCCAACUUUGUUGUUUAAACGUAACUUCGAUCAACUUAUGACAAACACGUUCAACCCUUACCUUGCUGGUCAAAUUAAUUCGAACAUCGAUAUUCAGUUUAUCUUAGAUGAAUACAGCUGUGCACAGUACGUCGUGGAAUACGUGAACAAAUCAGCUCGUGGAAUGGGUAACUUGAAUCGAGAGCUGACUAAAAUGAUGGAAGAACAUCCUGACCGCGAUUACACUGGUCAAUUAAAAGCAUUGAGUGUCAAACUUCUCAAUGCAGUUGAAAUGUCGGCGCAAGAAGCAGCAUGGUAUUUGUUACGACAGCCGAUGAGCGAAGCAAGCCGUCAAAUUGUGUACAUACCAACAGUGUGGCCCUCAGAGAGACAACGUUGCCGCAAACGUCGGAAACAAUUGGAUCGCGAAGGAAUCGCAGAGGACAGCACAGACGUGUGGACCAAAAACAUCAUUCAGCGGUAUGAAGAAAGACCUCCAUCUUUGCAAGAUGUAUAUUUGGCCGAGUUUGCGUCGUGGUAUGCUAACUCUCGUGAUUUUAUUGACAAUGAAGACGACUUGAACGUGCAUGAAGAUGACGAUCCUGAACCGCCGACUGGAGAAAGAACGACAUCGAGAGGAUAUCGCAAACGUCUGAUCGGUCGAAUCAUACGAUACAGAUGCUACGACAUAGAUGAAACUGUCAAUUAUCAACGUGAGAUGGUACUGCUGUACUUGCCCUUUCGCAAUGAAGUCGCUGACAUUGUUGAUUGUAAUAAAUUUAUACAAUUAUUCAAUGACAACAAGGAAACUAUCAUGGAACGAAAAAAACUUUAUGAGAACAAUAUUGACAUCGACAAAGUGAUGCAAGAGCUAGAAGCAAUGGUGAUUUUGCAAAAUUCAGACACCACAGAACCAACGGAAACAGAGUCAAGAAGAGUGUUUGUAGAACAGCUGUUAGGAGGAGAGGGAGCUGAAAAUAACGAUGUUAAUGAAUUAUGAGUACAUAUCAAGGAAGAAUAAUCGAACAAACUCAGACACCAACGCAGCAGGUGGAGUAGCGAUCUAUCGUAGGUUGCGGUCACAGACACUGCUCGAGUUAUCAAAACCUGCGGUGACUUGUGCUUGGCUGAAGUUACUUGCUUUACCGCUGAUACUACCUUCAAAUUUGUGCUCGGUGCUGUUUAUAUUCAUCCAGGAUCAAGUAUUCAAGUGUACAAGACAUCGGA